CUCUGUCUCUCUCUCAAAAAUAAAUAAACAUCUAGAGAAACUAAAAAUAAAAUGAUGCCUUUCCAUUUUCAUGAUGCCCAGGAGCAGAUAUAUAGGCAGAUGAAGGGCCCAGACCUCACACUUUUCUAGGUCCCUCACCAGCAGCGUGGCAGUUCCAUUUACACAAGGGUAGGUCAACCAGCCAAAGAGAUCUGAAACUUGCAUCCGUGGGGUCGCCCCAGGGUCCCAGAAGGGGGAGAGCAAACCCUUUCUGCUGCCCAGAGCAGCAUUUCUUUGGAGGGACAGUGUGGGAUUGGGCUGCCAGAGUGGUGCCGGCUUACUUGGGAAGACCCAUGUUGUUUAUCUACACGGGGCACCCGCACAAAUGUUUGCCUCCGGCCUACAAAGCCUAGGGAUGACCCUGCCUCUAAGGCCAGCCUGGUUAUGAUUGCCCUUUUAUAGAUGAGAAGAUUGAGGCUUAGGGAAGCUGAGAAAUCCUCCCCAAAAUCUCCCAGGAGAGCUGAAACUUGCAUAUUAUCUUUGACGCCAGAAUGCAAGCUCUUCGCUCACCCACGACACUGUCCUUCUCUUCCUUUACAAUUUCAACGUGUGCCCUCUCUCCCCAGGUCUCCUGUGGGCAGAGGCAGUGUGCCGGACCCCUGUGAUUUCCUGGUCUGCCUGGCACGGCACCAUGCACGUGAUAGCUCGGGAACGGCAGUACUUGAUCGAAAAGCUAGAGCAUUCCCCCAUAGUUAAAGUCAACCCGGUGAGAUUUCCUGAUCUCCAGGAUUCUUAACUGCUCCAUGGUGCUCUGUGCUGGCUGCCAUAGCAAACCAUCCCCAGCAUGGUCGCUCGAAGCCACGGACAUGUAUUCACUUAGUUCUAGAGGCCACAAGCCAGAAUCAAGGGUGUUGUGGAGCCAGACUCCCUCCGAAGCCUCUUGGGGAGAAUCCAUCCCUGCCUCUCGUAGUGUCUGGUGGCUCCCGGUGUUAUUGGACCUGUGGCUGCAUUAUCCGGUCUCCGCCUCCACUUCCCCAUGGUCUCCUUCCUGUGUGGCCCUGCGUCUUCUCCUUUUCUGUCACAAGGACACUGUCAUUGGAUUUAGGGCUUAGCCUAACCCCGAGAUAAUCUCAAGACCUUUAAGUUGGAGAAAAAUAAAACAUAGUAGCUCCAGGCACCGCACUCAUACUUCAUCUCAUUCUCACAAACACUGUGCAAAGUCAGGCGUUAUUAGUCCCAUUUUAAAGAUGGGAAAUGUGAGACUCUGAGAAGCUGUCCAAAGUUUUAGAGCUAGAAACUCACAAAUGUGGCCAGGUUUACAUAGCAUAGUCCUCACAUCCUUCUCCCUUCCUCCCUCCCUUCCUUCCUCCCUCCCUCCUUUCCUUCCUUCCUUCCUUCCUUCCUUCCUUCCUUCCUUCCUUCCUUCCAUAAAUAUUGAAUAACUACUGCAUGUGAAGAACGAUUCUAGGUGUUGAAGAUACAAAAAACAAAAACAAAAAUCUCUGCAUGAGGCUGGUAUUCUAAUGGGAGAGACAGACAUUAAGCCAUCAUGUAAAAUGCAUUGUAAUUUGAAUGAUGACAUUGCUAUGGAAAAGUUUUAAAGCAACGUGCGUACCUUGUUUGGACUUUUAUUCAAACUUAUCCACUGUAACAAGACAUCUUUCAGAUAACAGGGAAAUUUGAAUAUGAACUGGUAUGUGAUACUGUUAAUUUGUUACAUCUGAGGAUGUCAUGGUAGCUAUGUUUCUAAAAUGUAACUAAUUGAAAGACGCGGGCUGAAAUAUUUGUGGAUAAACCAAGAUUGCAAAAAUGUGGCUGAUGAUCGAUGUGCGAGGAUAGAUUCCUACCGAAGGGCCUUUACACUCUUCUAAUUUUGUAGAUAUUUGAAAACUUCCAUAAUAUAAAGUUUUGGAUAGGAGUGGCAGGUAAGACAUGUAAGAGAUGUUGUAAGACCCCAACAGGUAGAUGAGGUGUUACAGCAAAGGCUUGCAUGAGGCGUGGAAGGAGCCAUGUGACUCUCGGAAUGUUCCAGGCAGAAGUGGGAGGUAGGCAGAGCUCUGAGGUGUGAGGUGUGAGGAGGCAGGGCUCCACCCCAAAGAAACUGGGCUAAACCGUAAAUAGGAAAUGAAAAUACGACAGCCAUAGCUUCCCCUCAGCUUUAUAGAUGUUAAUAAUGUAUUUUAUUGUGUGUUAUGUAACAGGACAUUUUCACCCAGUAUCACAACACUACGUAAGUUGUGGAAUCAUUUGAGACCAGUCCUUCAGACUUUAAAAAGGAAUUGAAAUUUUGAGUGUAGACAUCACGACUCUUCAAAAGCCGAAAACAGUGGCCGAUUUUCAAACUAGAAAAGGCCACUGAAGGAUCCUACAGGUUUUAACAUCUAAUAAGGAAGAAUGUUCUCUUUCUUCUGGUUGGACAUAAGGGGUAUUUCUACUGAAAGCUGGAGCAUGAAGGGUCUGUCUAGGUGACUGGAUUUUCCUGGAGGACACUGGGAUCUGGGAAACGUCUAAGACUCAUCUGGAACUGGUGUAUCUGGGGUGAGAUAAGGAGCAUGUGAAGUGGAGAAACAGAUUUUCUUGAGAAGGGAUUGCUUGAACCAAAUCUUCGAAGAUGGCUAGAUGCUCACCAAGUUGGCAGGCUGGGGGUACAGGAUAUGGGACCGGCGAAGGCACAUCAUAGAUGAGAUAUAGAAGAUAUAAGGUUUUUUACAUUUUUUAAGAGAAGCCAGAGCGAUAGAUUUUUACGCAAGCUCCUUUGAUUUUUCAUUGGCAUCCACUAAUUCAAAUUUCUAGAACAUUCUGUGUUCUAUACCAGCUAUGUUGGCAGAUGAAACAUAUCUGCAGGCUUUUGGAUCUGACCUCUGGACUAGGCAUCAUGCCAAGUUACUGAGGCACCUCAUUCAUUUUAGUGCCCUCAGCUGGGGAUGGUCUUUAGUAGGUAUCUACAAAUGUCACUAAUUGGAAUCAAAGGCAGUUGUGUGCUGGGAAUCAAUGGCUCCUUGUACAUUCAUUUCCAGAAAUUCUUCUGGUGCUGGAAUGUGCCACUGCCAGCCACCAUUUGCUUUUUGUGCUGGAACUAACUGGAAAGCCCAAAUGAGGAAAAGGAAGAGGCAGAGCUCGAUUCUGCCCUCUCAGGUCAAAGCCUGGGGUGUCCCGGAUUCCUAAACUCCAUCGAUUCUCCGUGACAGCUCCUUCCCCUCACCCCCAAACCUACUUCAUUUGGUAGUAUCCAUUGCCUACCAAUAAGCAUCGUCUCAGAGACAGAACAAAACAAGAUAUGUUUAAACGCCCUCCUAGAAUUUAUUGAGCACAGAGAAGUGGAGUCCCCUGGAACCUUCAGCCCUGAAACUUGUGUAGGGAUAAAAGGUGGAGAAAACAGGGCCAAAGGCCUGUGAGACCCUAAGGCCCUAAGCACCGGAUGGGACAGGACCUCCCUGUGUGAGUCCCAAAUGUAGAACCACUUUUCUGGGGAAACUUCUGCCACCUAUUGUCCAUGAAGGGAGAGACACCAUUCUGAGUUCUAAGGGCUGAAGACUCAGCCUAUCUUUCUCCAUAUGUUACCUAGACUCUUGACCACAGGCUAGGAGAGCUGGGCUAGGAGAGUUGGGCCUUCCUGCUCUGAGGUUCCAGUUCCCCACCUCCUCGCCUCCUGCACUCUACUCUGAGGGAAGGGGCAGGUGUUGUCUACUUCUGAAUCCUGGACGCCCGGGAGGGCACCUGGCCUUCAGAAAGACAACGAGAACGGGUUACCGUUAAGUGCUAAGUGGUUAAUGAUUCAAGAAGUUAGUUUCUGUAAACUGUUUAGUAUAUGGCACAUAGCAAGAGCUCAGUGAAUCGACAUUAUUCAGUUU